rnacentral:misc_RNA from 1 species
UUUCCGUAGGUGAACCAGCGGAAGGAUCAUUAUCGUACAAAAUGUGAGGGGCAUGCGAGGGCUGUCGCUGACCCAAAAGUCGUGCACGCCCGAGUGUGUCCUCUUGCAUAAUAAUCCAUCUCACCCUUUGUGCAUCACCGCGUGGGCACCCUUCGGGAUCAUCUCGGAGGGGGGCUCGCGUUUUCAUACAAACCCCCCUUUUAAAAGUGUAGAAUGACCACAUUUAUGCAAUCAAUACAACUUUCAACAACGGAUCUCUUGGCUCUC